AACGCGAAGAACCUUACCAACACUUGACAUGUUCGUCGCGACUCUAAGAGAUUAGAGUUUUCGGUUCGGCCGGACGAAACACAGGUGCUGCAUGGCUGUCGUCAGCUCGUGUCGUGAGAUGUUGGGUUAAGUCCCGCAACGAGCGCAACCCUCACUUUUAGUUGCCAUCAUUAAGUUGGGCACUCUGAAAGAACUGCCAGUGAUAAGCUGGAGGAAGGUGGGGAUGACGUCAAGUCCUCAUGGCCCUUACGUGUUGGGCUACACACGUGCUACAAUGGCAUCUACAACAGGAAGCAAAACGGCAACGUUAAGCAAAUCCCGAAAAGAUGCCUCAGUUCGGAUUGCACUCUGCAACUCGAGCGCAUGAAGCUGGAAUUACUAGUAAUCGUGGAUCAGCGUGCCACGGUGAAUGCGUUCCCGGGUCUUGUACACACCGAAU
rnacentral:rRNA from 1 species